CCUACGGGAGGCAGCAGUCGAGAAUCAUUCACAAUGGGGGAAACCCUGAUGGUGCGACGCCGCGUGGGGGAAUGAAGGUCUUCGGAUUGUAAACCCCUGUCAUGUGGGAGCAAAUUAAAAAGAUAGUACCACAAGAGGAAGAGACGGCUAACUCUGUGCCAGCAGCCGCGGUAAUACAGAGGUCUCAAGCGUUGUUCGGAAUCACUGGGCGUAAAGCGUGCGUAGGCUGUUUCGUAAGUCAUGUGUGAAAGGCGCGGGCUCAACCCGCGGACGGCACAUGAUACUGCGAGACUAGAGUAAGGGAGGGGGAACCGGAAUUCUCGGUGUAGCAGUGAAAUGCGUAGAUAUCGAGAGGAACACUCGUGGCGAAGGCGGGUUCCUGGACAUUAACUGACGCUGAGGCACGAAGGCCAGGGGAGCGAAAGGGAUUAGAUACCCCUGUAGUC
rnacentral:rRNA from 1 species